AUUAAUGUGGCAGAUUAAGUGCGAUGAAUUUAAGCUUCAUUAAUAGAAGUUUUUCUCUUUAAUA
rnacentral:tRNA from 1 species